UGCUCCUCUCCUGAGAUGGGUCUGAGAAAGAGAAACACCAUGGUUGGUGAGGCAGCCAUGUUCGCCACAUCUUGGUAGCCCUCACUCGGCAUUGGCAUCCUCUCGUUCUUGGACUUGAAGUUAACUCAGCCAUGAGGAAGCAUGGGUGGCAGCUGCCGUACCACCCUCUCCAGGUGGUUGCGAUAGCCGUGUUCUCGGCACUGGGGUUCACCUUCUCGUCUUCUUCGUGCCGUUCGUGGGGACGAAGCCGUUCCAGAUUGUGGCCAUGGCUAUCUACACUCCAUUGAUUACAUGUGUUGUUGUGUUAUACAUAUGGUGUGCGGAAACAAAUCCUGGAGACCCAGGCAUUUUCGAUUCAACGAAGAAUUUGAAGUAAGAUAAGAAUGAAAAGCACUCCUAUGUGAAUUCGGAUCAGGGGAUUAAUCAUGGAGAAGGCCAUUAAGUGAGACUUUUGGUACUGCUGAUAACAGUGAGAAGCUGAGCAGCAUGCUUGAGAGGAACGAUUCGCCUUCUUGGCCCAGAUUUUUUGGA